GCUCAGAACGAACGCUGGCGGCAGGCCUAACACAUGCAAGUCGAGCGCUACCUUCGGGUGGAGCGGCGGACGGGUUAGUAACGCGUGGGAACGUACCCAGAUCUAAGGAAUAGCCACUGGAAACGGUGAGUAAUACCUUAUACGCCCUUCGGGGGAAAGAUUUAUCGGAUUUGGAUCGGCCCGCGUUAGAUUAGAUAGUUGGUGGGGUAAUGGCCUACCAAGUCUACGAUCUAUAGCUGGUUUUAGAGGAUGAUCAGCAACACUGGGACUGAGACACGGCCCAGACUCCUACGGGAGGCAGCAGUGGGGAAUCUUGGACAAUGGGCGCAAGCCUGAUCCAGCCAUGCCGCGUGAGUGAUGAAGGCCUUAGGGUCGUAAAGCUCUUUCGCCAGAGAUGAUAAUGACAGUAUCUGGUAAAGAAACCCCGGCUAACUCCGUGCCAGCAGCCGCGGUAAUACGGAGGGGGUUAGCGUUGUUCGGAAUUACUGGGCGUAAAGCGUACGUAGGCGGAUUAGUCAGUCAGAGGUGAAAUCCCAGGGCUCAACCCUGGAACUGCCUUUGAUACUGCUAGUCUUGAGUUCGAGAGAGGUGAGUGGAAUUCCAAGUGUAGAGGUGAAAUUCGUAGAUAUUUGGAGGAACACCAGUGGCGAAGGCGGCUCACUGGCUCGAUACUGACGCUGAGGUACGAAAGUGUGGGGAGCAAACAGGAUUAGAUACCCUGGUAGUCCACACCGUAAACGAUGAAUGCCAGUCGUCGGGCAGUAUACUGUUCGGUGACACACCUAACGGAUUAA
rnacentral:rRNA from 1 species